AACGAACGCUGGCGGCAGGCCUAACACAUGCAAGUCGAGCGGACCUUUCGGGCUCAGCGGCGGACGGGUGAGUAACGCCUGGUAAUAUGCCCUUCUCUACGCUAUCGUCCUCGUUAGCUUGGGUUAAUACCGUAUACGCCCAUUGGGGAUAGGAUUUACCGGGGCAGGGUGAGCCCGGGUAAGAUUCGGUGGUUGGUGGGGUAAUGGCCUACCAUCCGCACGUUCCAUAGCUGGUUGGAUAGCAUGAUCAGGCACACUGGCACUGAGACACGGACCAGCCUCGUACGGGAGGCAGCAGUGGGGAAUCUUAGACACUGGGGGCAACUCUGAUAUAGCCAUGCCGCGUGAGUGAGGCAGGCCUUAGGGUUGUAAAGCUCUUUCAGCCGGGAAGAUAAUGACGGUACUAGCAGAAGAAGCCCCGGCUAACUCCGUG
rnacentral:rRNA from 1 species